rnacentral:rRNA from 1 species
UGAGCAACCUGCCCUUAGCUCUGGGAUAACCCCGGGAAACCGGGGCUAAUACCGGAUACGAGUCCGAGCGGCGUCACACGGACUGGAAAGUUUUUCGGCUAAGGAUGGGCUCGCGGCCUAUCAGCUUGUUGGUGGGGUAAUGGCCCACCAAGGCGACGACGGGUAGCCGGCCUGAGAGGGUGACCGGCCACACUGGGACUGAGACACGGCCCAGACUCCUACGGGAGGCA